UGAGGAACAUGACCUUCGGCGGGGGGAGUAGCCGGCCCAACGGCCGGGUAAUACCGCGUACGACCACAUGGGGACAUCCCUGAGUGGUGAAAGCAGCAAUGCGCCGAUGGAGUGCCUCGCGGCCUAUCAGCUUGUUGGUGAGGUAACGGCUCACCAAGGCUUCGACGGGUAGCCGGCCUGAGAGGGCGACCCGGCCACACUGGGACUGAGAUACCGGCCCAGACCUCCCGUACGGGGACGGNACGGCG
rnacentral:rRNA from 1 species